UACGAGGGGGGCGAGCGUUGUUCGGAAUUAUUGGGCGUAAAGGGCGCGUAGGCGGAUAGUUUAGUCAGAGGUGAAAGCCCAGGGCUCAACCUUGGAAUUGCCUUUGAUACUGGCUAUCUUGAGUUCGGGAGAGGUGAGUGGAAUGCCGAGUGUAGAGGUGAAAUUCGUAGAUAUUCGGCAGAACACCAGUGGCGAAGGCGACUCACUGGCCCGAUACUGACGCUGAGGCGCGAAAGCGUGGGGAGCAAACAGG
rnacentral:rRNA from 1 species